ACCUGACGUCUCCCCACCCGGGCUGAGCUCGCCCCUCCCGCCCCCAGCCGAGCUUCUGGAAAUCCAGUAGCCUCCCCCUGCCUCCCGGAGCUCCCGGCUGGCUGCCACCCCGAGCGAACGCACCGCGUGCACACGUCCACACGCCAGCAGCACAGGCACGAGAGCGGCUGGGUGCGGAAAGGAGGCGCACCGCGCGCCCAGCCGACACCCGCGCGGACCCCGGCCGCGGCCCCCCGACGCCCCUCGGUGCCCGAGCCCCCAGCCCGCGAGUCUCACCAGAGAGCCGGUAACUUUCCAGGUCAGUUUUCACUGCAAGCUCUCUCCCACCUCGCCUUCACUCCCAGAGCGCAAACAGGCGCACGUACCCUGGACGUGCUCUCCUCUGUCACACCGGUGCCCUCCUAGAAGACACGUGACCCUGGAGCAGCUUGGCGACGCGCUCUUCCCGGACUCUGGAGCCAUAACUUGCAUCGAGUUUGCCAGUUCACAUGAUGCUGGGGGCAGUGGUUUGAACCGAGUUUCAAGGGACCUUCGGAAUCUGUAGGUCUUCUGGCAGGGAGCUUUCUUGAUCACCCAAGUUGGUAAUCCUCUCCCCGUCGCCUUUUGAUUACAUGUUUUUCCCUGA